UGUUUGGACGGGAAGGAAGUCGUUCACGGCGCCGUUGGGUUGAAGGAUUCAGAUGACACGACGACGGGUGGUUUUGUUUUAUUAUUUUUGGGAAAAUAAAUGGUUCUCAACUCUCGUUCACUUUCUCUCGGACAGAGGCGCUGCCCCGCCGUUGAUUCACUCGUGCCACCUCUCAUUCCUUAGGAUCUAGGGUCUUCUUCUCUCGAUUGUGUUUCUGCUCCUGAGGAUGGAAUUCUUUUAAUCCUUUCUCUGGAUGCCGUAGGAUCCUCUGCAAGCCUGGUGGUCGCAGAUUUGGACUGAUCCACAGCCUUCCUUCUCUCAAUGACCCAAGAAUUGAUAGGUUGCCAUACUCAAUUAGAAUUAUGCUGGAAUCUGCCAUUCGUAAUUGUCACUGGGGACAAGAUAUUACUAAAGAAGAUGUUGAGAUGAUUAUUGACUGGGAAAGCUCUUCAACGAAGCAAGUUGAGAUUCCUUUCAUUCCAGCUCGUGUUCUCCUGCAGGAUUUUACUCAAGUUCCAGCUAAUGUAAUCCUGGCCUGCAUACGAGAUGAUCUGGUUUCUGUUAAUCUCGUCACUGGUCAUUCAGUUGAAGUUGAUGUGGCUAAUCUGGAGCUUGAGUUCCAGAGAAGCAAGGAGAUAUGUGAUUCCCGUAGACGGGUUUCAAAAUCUUGCCACAACAUGCUUGUAGUUCCUCCUGGUUCGGGACCACAUCAAGUCAAUCUUGAAUAUCUCAGCAGUGUUGUAUUCAACGCCGAGGGCUUACUCUAUCCUGACAGUGUGGUUGGGAUUGAUUCACACACAACUAUGAUAAAUGGGCUUGGAGUUUCUGGAUGAGGUGUUGGGCGUAUUGAAGCAGAGGCAGUAAUGUAUGGCAAGCCUAUGAACAUGAUAUUACCUUGUGUUGUUGGAUUCAAGUUGUCUGGAAAAUUGCGCAACGGUAUUACAGCAACUGAUUUGGCUCUAACUAUUACACAAAUACUUCGUGAACAUGGUGUUGUUGGGAAGUUUGUUGAGUUUUAUGGUGAUGGUAUGCGCCGAUUAUCAUUAGCUGACAGGGCCACUAUUGCCAAUAUGGCUCCUGAGUAUGGAGCGAGCAUGGGUUUCUUUCCCGUAGAUAAUGUUACACUACAAUACCUCAAGUUAACGGGAAGAAGUGAAGAGACUGUGGCAAUGAUAGAGGCCUACCUCAGGGAAAACAAAAUGUUUGUGGACUAUGAUGAGCCUCAACAAGAAAGAGUUUAUUCAUCCUAUCUUGAAUUGAACCUUGAUGAAGUUGAACCAUGUAUCUCAGUGCCAAAGAGACCUCAUGAUCGGGUGCCUUUGAAAGAAAUGAAGACUGAUUGGCAUGCUUGUCUUGAUAGCAAAGUGGGGUAUAAGGGAUUUCUUUCAAUAGUAGAAGAUGUAGAAAACAAAGUUGCAAAAUUUGAUUUCCACGGGCAGCCAGCAGAGCUCAAGGAUGGAAGCGUUGUGAUUGCUUUAAUCACAAGCUGUACAAAUACGUCAAACCUGAGCGUUAUGCUUGAGGCUGGUCUUGUUGCAAAGAAGGCUUAUGAGCUAGGUUUGCAGGUUAAGCCUUGGGUUAAAACAAGUCUUACUCCAGGCUCUGGAGUUGUCACAGAAUAUCUACUUCAGAGUGGCCUGCAAAAGUAUCUAAAUGAACAGGGUUUCCAAAUUGUUGGAUUUGGUUGCACCACAGGCAUUGGAAAUUCAGGGGAUUUGGACAAAUCAGUUGCUUCUGCUAUCUCAGAAAAUGACAUCAGAGCGGCUGCUGUGUUUUCUGGGAACCGUAAUGUUGAGGGGCGUGUCCCCCGUGUGCAUCCUUUGACACAAACUAACUUGCUUGUAUCACCUCCACUGGUUGUUGCUUAUGCGCUUGCUGGGACGGUUGACAUUAAUUUUGAAACGGAGCCAAUAGGGACAGGGAAGGAUGGAAAUAAUAUCUACUUAAGUGAUGUUUGGCCAUCCACUGAAGAAGUUGCACAGGUGAAUGAAGGCAUACUUCCUUAUGUCAUCAGGAAACUCUAGAAAGCAAGGCAGUAUAUUGGAACAUGUGGAUUAUUAUUCCAUGAAACGGAAAAACUUACCCAGUCUCCGUUAACCAUGAUAUUUUUCGUUUGUUCUUUGAUACUGAGUCAUCUAUCAGUUUGUUAUUUCGGAUUCCAUAUUUCUCUUUCCGUAUGACGUUGUUUGGAGGACCACUCUCCUUAACUCAUGUUACUUUCUGGAAGUGAUGCUAACAAUGGGAUAGCAUUUGAUAAUA